AUCACUGUCCACCAUAAAACCAUGUCAUAAUUUAUUUAACCAUAUUCUUGUUGUUGAACAUUCAUGCCAGCUACUUGCAUUGACCAUUUUUGCUAGCUUGUUGAACACUAUGCUAUCUUGGGUGGCAAUGUCGUGGACAUCUGGGUGGCCCUGUGCUUUUGAUAUGUCCUCAGGAAGAUGGAAUUAUUGGUUAAAGAACACCAACAUUUAAAGUUUUAUGCCUCAGUAAACCAUAACUUGAACAUCUAGAAAAAAAUAUCCAGAGAAAGAAAGUAUUUCUUUUCCUCUCUUAAACUGCAAGUCGGGAACGUGUCCACGUUUGCUUGUUUGGCUGGUACUGGGUCAGAAGUGAAUAGUUGCUUGAUAAUACCCAGUUCUGCCUCUUAAGUAAUUAAGGCACAAACCCAGGCAGCGAUGAGCAUCCAGGUCAGGGCCUCUUAGUCCCAAAAUUGCUCCCAGCCUCCUCUACCUUUGUGGAGAGGAGCUGCGGGGUGAGGAGGACACGGCAUGGCAUAGCACAGCACCCGUUCUAACCCUCUUCCCCAAUGCCCUCCCCAUAGGAGCCCUCCAGGAGGAAUUGAUGUUCCUGAGGCCAGAGAAUCUGAGGCUCACUCUUGGCCAGAGUCUAGAACAAGGAAAGGGAAAUUGCAUCUGAGCCAAGGUUAGCCUGUCUGGUUGGAGGUCCGUGGCUAUGGGAAGGAUGGGCAUGCACAGCUGCGAGCCAAGUGUGGUGGUGAAGGGGAACAAAGAUACACACGGGCACUUUGCCCUAUAGAACAGAUUACCCAGAGGGUGGAAAGUUAAAAGAGGAGGGACACACUGGGAGAGUGUGGGGAGCCCUGAUGGGGAUGCCCGUCCAGGUAUGGAUUACAAGGAUUUCUGGGAGAGCAAAUCUCUGAAACUAAUCCCCUCACUCCUCCAACCCCCAUAUUUGUCCCCAGCCCAGUUUGCUGGCUGCUCUGUUACUGUCUAACACUCUGGCUUUUCUCUUGGAAAAACCACUUGACAAGAGCAGCAGAAAGAAGGCUUGAGACUCUAUGUCACUUUCUAAACAGACCUGAUCCCCAGACAGAGGAAGGACAAGGCACUGGCACAGAGCUAGGGGUGAGGAGGAGACAGAAAAAAACCAGGAGGGCUCAGAAAGGUUGUUCAAAUAUUGGAAGAGUUACGUUCUGGCUACUGGGACGAAUAAGGAGAGAUGAAGCCUCUCCAUGAGAGGCCAGGGGCAGUCCUCAGAAGGGGCAUCCUUCAAGGCAAUGUUUCUUAACCUUUCACAUGUUUGUCAGUCACCCAGGAAUUGUUAUGAGGCAGAUGCAGAUCAGGAGUUCUAGUGAUGAGCAGAGGAGGUCCAUGCUGCUGAUUCAGGACCAUGCUUAGAGGAACAGGUGUCAAGUGCUUCCUGUCCCUACCUUGGUCUAGUCCUGAAGUGCUGUGAUCAGCAAAGCCUCUUCCAUCUUCAUGCAGCUGGGUCUGUAUAGGCAAGGCGCUCAUGCAAGCUUCUCUGAGCAGAUACUUCAAUAUAACUAAGACCCACACUUAGAUUUGUAUCACUUCUACUCCAACAUAAAGACCUUCAGAUAUGUACAUAUUUCCAAAGAAAGUGUCUAUGGACGAGAAUCUACCCCAACAGGUCACGCAAUGACUCUUACUGGAAGGUGGGUGUUUUCUUUCUCUGACUCCAUUCCAUCCCUAGCCUUAUUUGUCUCCUUUAAAAAAGAAAAAAAGACAGCUCAAGCAUUAUAUUAUACUGAAUCUUUUGCCAUUCCACGAAUGGGCAAGUCUCUGAAUACCCAGUGAAAAUUACCUUUUUCCUUUUAUUUCCUACUUCCUUUUUAAAAAUUUCAAUUUCUAUAUAUUUUGUGUAUAUGGGCUCCACUUUAAG
rnacentral:lncRNA from 12 species